AUUUUGUUUCUCAGAUCAGCUACGGAACAUUUCAUGCAUGGCACAGGAUGCAGUUUUUACAUCAAGUAGUCCUCAACAAUAACCCUCUGACAACUAUCGAAGAUCCAUCUUUUUUUAAAUUACCAGCAUUAAAACACCUGAAGGCAAAAGCAAAAUCCUCAGACAUCUGUGAAGUGCCUGCUGCAGUGCAGGGUGUUUCCAGGGUGACCAUCUCUCUUCUCCUGCAGAGACUUGGAAGCAACACAUGUGCCCCAUGCAGUGCUGGAGAACAUCCUCACCAUGACUCUGGAGUUGCAAAAACUGCAAGUUAUUUUUUCUAGAUUUAUUUUACUUUGUUUUCAUUGUAUUACAUUUGUUUUACUACUCUUUUUUCUUUUUUUCCUUUUUGGUGGGGGUGUUGAGACAAGCUCUCACUGUGUAGCCCAGGCUGGCAUAGAACUUGUAGCAAUCUGCCUGCCUCAGCUUCCCAAGUACCAGGAUUAAAGGCAUGUGGGCCACCAAGCGGGGCCUGUUUUACUAGUUUCUUAAGUCAGGUUCCUGGAGGUCUAACUACCAUUUAGUAAAAUUCAGUCUUCCCUUGUAGAGUUGGGUGAAUGAGAACAGUGGUGUAGCCCUCACUGUUCUCCUGCUGAUUUCCCACUGGCAGCCCUGAAAACAGCCAGUCUUUCCUGCGGACCACAUAGUUUCACUUUCCCAGCAUAGUGUACAGAUGGAUGGCACAGUAGUGGUCUUCCCUGUCUCCCUUUUGUUCACUUAGUGUAAUAUUUAGUACAUCCUGGCAGCGAUGUGUGAGGACUGCAAUUGCUGCCGGACAUGGUGGCCCACACCCAUAAUCCUAGCACUCUGGGAGGCUGAAGCAGGAAGAUCCUGUGAGCUGGAGCCCAGCCUGGGCUCCAUAGUGAGGUUGAGGGCUGCUUGGACUAGAGAGCAAGAUGCUGUCUCAAAACUGAAACGAGACUCUGUGCUUUUUGUACCUUGGAUACACAUCCUUUUUCAUUGGCCAGUGUUCAGUAAAUAUCUUUUCUCUAGUCGUGGGUUCUCUUUUCUGAAGAACAGAAAUUUUAAAUUCUUAAACUUUGGUAGAGUAUAAUGUAGCAGGUUGUUCUUGCUUGAUUUGUGCUUUUCUGUGUCUUCUGAGAAAUAUUUGUCUAAACACACACUGUCUACCCACAGUGCAAAGGUUUUCUUCUUUUGUUCCUCCCAGAAUUGGAUAGUUAGAUUUAGGUCUAUGGCAGCCUUUUGAGUUUUUCUUUCCUUUUUUUGGGUACUGGGGAUCAAACUCAGGACCUUGAGUUUGGGAGGCAGGCGGCAGAAAAACUGAGCUAAAUCCCCAGCCCUUGAGUGUUCUUUCUGACUCAAGGUCUCAGUUGCUGGUUUCCCUGGCUGGGAGGGAAUUUGGGUCUCCAUGUCAGCCUGAGUACUGAGGUAAGAAGUGUGUGUGUGAUGCAGGCAGGGGUCAUUUCCAUGUGUGAGGUGUUUAUUGAACUGCAGCUUCUGUGGGGCCCAUGGUGACGGCUGCGUGUCCCAUGACUGCCCUGGCCCACACUGGCCAGGCUCAGGAAAGAGAAACUGGAGGUGCAAGAGCUGAGGGGAGGGAGGCCACGCAGCUCUUGUGGGAAGAGGCCUGGCCAGCAGGCUGCUUGGGUCCUGCACCUGUCACCUCCCUGGCUGAUGCCAUGUGCACACCCCUGGGUUUCCGAUCUGUGCUCCUCCCAGAGCUCCUGCAACCCCACACUCAGACCCUCCCAACCUGCUGCCUGCCCUUCCCCAGUCAGAGCUGCCUCCCCAGCCAUUCUCCAGGGGUCCUCGUGGUGGUGAUGGUCCUCUUCAGCACCAGAGAAAUAACCCAGGGGUAAGAACUUGAGAUCAGUGAAGAUCCGACCUUAAGCAUCUUCCUAUCCAUCUGCACAUCUGCCAUGACCCUUGUCUGAUCCACUGUUACACGGGUGACUGUCAAAUGACAGUUUCCAACUCUGGCUUUCCUUCUUCACUUGUUAGCUGCCACUGCUCUAUUAGAGAAGUCACACUUUUCUUUUUGAGGAUCAUUAUGAAUUUGCAGGUUCCUCUCCACAUUACAUUUUCCCCUUUUCUCUCUCUCCCUUCCUUCCUUUUCUACUCUGUGGUUCUGUGGAUCAAACCUGGACCCUCAGGCAUGCCAGGCAAGCUCUCUGCCCUGAGUUGAGCCCCAGCCCUUCUCACAUGUUGAAUGCUCACAGGGGCCUGAUUUGACCCUUGCAGUCUCUGCAGUUGCUGAACAGCACAAUGUAGGUAGAACUGAAAUGUUUUUCUGCCCAGAGGAAGGUGCAGUGUUUCCUCCUCCUAACGGCAAUGAGGACAGGGCCUCACUGAGACUGCACAGAAGGCUGUUGUCUCCCUGUGCAUGCCCAUCACAGCCAGCCCUUCCAGCAGGGAGAGAUGGUCCUGAACGAAGCUGCACAUUGGCCCCAGAGCCCAUGUCCGACCUUUAUUGUGGGCCUGGCUUAGCCUUCUGUGGGGCACCUUGGCCUCCUUCCUGAGGAUCCCCAGUGUUCCUGAACAGCACUCUGCCCCCAGGUGCCCACCCAGUGCCAGGCCUGGCCAGACUCAGAGCUCCUUUCUGCAUGGCCCUGGGGCCUGGCCUGUGUCUCCUGCCACUGCAGGAGCCCUUUUGCUAAUUUGCUUCUCUGUGCUCUGCCCGCAGGAUCUUGCUGAGCCACAUGGCCUGCUGCCUCUGCCAAAUUAAGAGUGAUAUCGAGGUUGUGUGCCUGACAGUCAAGCUGCACUGUGACAGCACCUGUCUGUCCAACACCAUGCAGUGCCAUGAGUCUCCUGAGAAACCUGAGAGCCCACGGUGUCACUUUUAUUUGGUUUUCACUUUUUGAUCUUGAGCUGGAAGAGUUACAUGUUUAAGUAAUGGUGUCCUUGCUGUAGUUGUCCUCAUGCAGCCUGAAUUUCUAGGCUGCUGUUUUGGUGCAAUCACAUUCUCAGUUCUUGUCCAAGGAUUUAAGCAGACCACUGUGGCAGAUGCGCAAGGAACAAGAAUGAGAAAUGGAAGGAAGGGAGCAGGUUCUCAGCCACAGACCAUGUGCUGCUCUGCUCGGUGUCCUCCUUGAUUCCUCCGUCCUGAGGCCCAGUGCAGUUUGAUGGCUAGCUGUGUGUGCAGAGGCUCUCCAGUGAUGCUGCCUCAUGGGGCAGCUCUCGAUCUAUUUGGUUUUGUGUUAUUUUUCAGUUUUAUUAGAUGAUAAGGGAUGCCAUUCUAUGUGGAGCUGGGAGUUUCUGAUUCCACAACUGAAACUGCUCCCGGC